GACGAACGCUGGCGGCGUGCUUAACACAUGCAAGUCGAGCGGUAAGGCCCUUUCGGGGGUACACGAGCGGCGAACGGGUGAGUAACACGUGGGUGACCUGCCUUUAGCUCUGGGAUAAGCCUGGGAAACUGGGUCUAAUACCGGAUAUGACCCUAUGGCGCAUGUUGUGGGGUGGAAAGCCUUGUGCGGCUAGGGAUGGGCCCGCGGCCUAUCAGCUUGUUGGUGGGGUGAUGGCCUACCAAGGCGACGACGGGUAGCCGGCCUGAGAGGGCGACCGGCCACACUGGGACUGAGACACGGCCCAGACUCCUACGGGAGGCAGCAGUGGGGAAUCUUGCGCAAUGGGCGAAAGCCUGACGCAGCGACGCCGCGUGA
rnacentral:rRNA from 1 species